UUGCAAGAUGCCUCGCAGUCCAGACUGUCAUGCGGCGUACGCUGUUAUCCAAAUACAUCAGGCUUGGGAGAGUCUUCUGUGCUUCUUCAUGGUGACAAGAUGCAACAAAUGGAGACAAUUAGUUCGCUUUAGGGAUCAGCACCAGACAGCAGCUGCUGGGUCACAGCUG